rnacentral:tRNA from 1 species
CGGAGCGUGGAAGCGGUUUAGUUUUAAUUAAACCGCAACGAGAGAAGUUUUCUCUGACGAGGUUCGGGACCAAGAGGUCGCAAGUUCAAAUCUUGUCACUCCGACCA